AUUGAACGCUGGCGGCAGGCCUAACACAUGCAAGUCGACCGCGUGGCUUACGUGUUAGUAAUUUCUGGGAAACUUCCUGAUGGAGGGGGAUACCUACUGGAAACGUUAGCUAAUACCUCAUCCCAUCAUAUGUUCCCAGCUGGGAUUGGCUUGUGGGUGGGGUAACGGCUCACCAAGGCGACGCUCCCUAGCUUGUCUGAGAGGAUGACCAGCCACACUGGAACGGGGACACGGUCCAGACUCCUACGGGAGGCAGCAGUGGGGAAGAUUGCACAAUGGGCGAAAGCCUGAUGCAGCCAUGCCGCGUGUAUGAAGAAGGCCUGCGGGUUGUAAAGUACUUUCAGCGGGGAGGCGGUAAGAGAAGAAGAAGCAACGGCUAACUCCGUGCCAGCAGCCGCGGUAAUAG
rnacentral:rRNA from 1 species